UGGAACACCGUUACUCCGCAAGGGGGUCCGGUCGAGGUGCUGCAUGGCUGUCGUCAGCUCGUGUCGUGAGAUGUUGGGUUAAGUCCCGCAACGAGCGCAACCCUUGUCCUGUGUUGCCAUACUGUAAAAAGUGGAACUCGCAGGAGACCGCCAGCGACAAGCUGGAGGAAGGUGGGGACGACGUCAAGUCAUCAUGGCCUUUAUGUCCAGGGCUACACACGUGCUACAAUGGGCGGUACAAUGGGUCGCCAACCCGCGAGGGGGAGCCAAUCCCAAAAAGCCGUCCUCAGUUCGGAUUGCAGGCUGCAACUCGCCUGCAUGAAGCUGGAAUCGCUAGUAAUGCUAUAUCAGAACGAUAGCGUGAAUACGUUCCCGGGCCUUGUACACACCGCCCGUCACAUCACGAAAGCGGGUUGUACUAGAAGUCCGCAGGCUAACCGCAAGGAGGCAGCGGCCCAAGGUAUGAUCCGUGAUUGGGGUGAAGUCGUAACAAGGUAACCGU
rnacentral:rRNA from 1 species